ACGGGAGGCAGCAGUGGGGAAUAUUGGACAAUGGGGGAAACCCUGAUGCAGCGACGCCGCGUGAAGGAAGAAGUAUCUCGGUAUGUAAACUUCUAUCAGCAGGGAAGAUAAUGACGGUACCUGACUAAGAAGCCCCGGCUAACUACGUGCCAGCAGCCGCGGUAAUACGUAGGUGGCAAGCGUUGUCCGGAUUUACUGGGUGUAAAGGGUGCGCAGGCGGGACUGCAAGUUGGAUGUGAAAUACCGAGGCUCAACCUCGGAGCUGCAUCCAAAACUGUAGUUCUUGAGUGGAGUAGAGGUAAGCGGAAUUCCGAGUGUAGCGGUGAAAUGCGUAGAUAUUCGGAGGAACACCAGUGGCGAAGGCGGCUUACUGGGCUCUAACUGACGCUGAGGCACGAAAGUGUGGGUAGCAAACAGGAUUAGAUACCCUGGUA
rnacentral:rRNA from 1 species